rnacentral:rRNA from 1 species
GACGAACGCUGGCGGCGUGCUUAACACGUACAAGUCGAACGGGAUCCAUGUUGUAGCAAUACUUCGGAAGAUCUAGUGGCGAACGGGUGAGGAACACGUGAGAAACCUGCCCCGAACUUCGGGAUAACAGUUGGAAACGAUUGCUAAUACCGAAUACCUCUGCGAAGUGGCAUCACUUUGCAAAGAAAGAAUUUCGGUUCGGGAGGGUCUCGCGGCCUAUCAGCUAGUUGGUGGGGUAACGGCCUACCAAGGCAUCGACGGGUAGCUGGUCUGAGAGGAUGAUCAGCCACACUGGGACUGAGACACGGCCCAGACUCCUACGGGAGGCAGCAGUGGGGAAUCUUGUGCAAUGGGCGAAAGCCUGACACAGCAACGCCGCGUGCGGGAAGAAGGCCUUCGGGUCGUAAACCGCUUUCAGCAGGAACGAAAAUGACGGUACCUGCAGAAGAAGGUGCGGCCAACUACGUGCCAGCCGCCGCAGUAA